GGUAACUGCGAAUCUGAAGGAAGGUGAAGGCAAACCUCCGGUCUGACGAACAGAAAUCAUAUCAGGCUGUAAGCAGGGGUAAGGCCGCAUAACAGGCAGAAGCCCAAUAGCUAUACGGAACUGCUUGCGGUAUAUAUGGCAGAUAUAUGGAGGGAAAGAGU
rnacentral:ncRNA from 1 species